rnacentral:rRNA from 1 species
CCCUUAGAUGUUCUGGGCCGCACGCGCGCUACACUGAUGCUUUCAACGAGUUUUUCCCUUGAUAGAGAUGUCUGGGUAAUCUUUUGAAUGAGCAUCGUGCUAGGGAUAGUUUAUUGCAAUUAUUAAACUUGAACGAGGAAUUCCUAGUAAACGCAAGUCAUCAGCUUGCAUUGAUUACGUCCCUGCCCUUUGUACACACCGCCCGUCGCACCUACCGAUUGAAUGUUUCGGUGAAGAUUCCGGAUAGGACUGAUUUGAUUUAUUUCAUUUCUGACCUAAAAGCUAUCUAAACCUCAACAUUUAGAGGAAGGUGAAGUCGUAACA